UACGUAGGGUGCAAGCGUUAAUCGGAAUUACUGGGCGUAAAGGGCGCGUAGGCGGCCUGUUAAGUCGAACGUGAAAUCCCCGGGCUCAACCCGGGAACUGCGUCCGAUACUGGCAGGCUUGAAUCCGGGAGAGGGAUGCGGAAUUCCAGGUGUAGCGGUGAAAUGCGUAGAUAUCUGGAGGAACACCGGUGGCGAAGGCGGCAUCCUGGACCGGCAUUGACGCUGAGGCGCGAAAGCCAGGGGAGCAAAGCGGG
rnacentral:rRNA from 1 species